GAUGAAUAUCUCUUUAUACCACAGAGUAUAGAAAUAGACAGUUCUACCAUAAAUUUCUAUCAUAACAGCAAAUGCAAAUUUGAUUUCAAAAUUGCCGAAUGAAAUAGAAGGAGGAGGAGAUCUUGGAGAAUACGAGAGGUUUGGUACAAUACAAAACGCAAAAGGCAGGGAGAAAUUAAAGAAAAAUCGCAUACCACAAAAAUAUAUGGAAAAAUGAAUAUGUACUUAUGAAUAUUUGGCUCCAUCGAAUUUAAUAUCAUCGGUUGUUUAUCAACGAUAGCAAGUUUGAAGCAAGCAGUUCAAAUAAUUUACAACUUUGAGACUAAACGUUUUGAUUGCUUAUACAUCGGGAAUAGAUAUAAAAAUGUAUUCGCUAGAGAAGCCAUUGUUCUAACGUAUUGAGCACAUAUAAAAAGAUGUACGAGAAAUACAAGCUUUACCUAAAUUUUUACGUUAUGAGCUUUACGUAAAAAAGUGGGCACAUGAAUUCAUUUUCUUAAAAUACUUCCAAGAUGAAUGGUUCGAUAAAAAUCAAAAUGGAUAAGAAUUGAUUUGGAAAUGUGUUGAAAUAAUCCUGCUACAAAAGCCAGGUAAAAACCCCAGAUCACCAUCAUCAUAUAGGCCAAUAACUCUUCUGCUAUCUGCAAAUUAAUGAAAAAAACAAUAAAUAAAAGGCCAAAAAAAGAA